rfam:Candidatus Liptonbacteria bacterium GWC1_60_9 gwc1_scaffold_2329, whole genome shotgun sequence.
GAGGCAUUGGUGUAACGGCAGCACCAGAGCUUGUGGAGCUCUUAGUACGGGUUCGAAUCCCGUAUGCCUCC